AGAGUUUGAUCCUGGCUCAGGACGAACGCUGGCGGCGUGCUAAUGCAUGCAAGUCGAACGCAGCAGCUUCGGCUGGCUGCGUGGCGAACGGCUGAGGAACACGUGGGUGACCUGCCCCAGAGUGGGGGAUACCCCGUCGAAAGACGGGAUAAUCCCGCAUACGCUCUACGGAGGAAAGCCCCUACGGGCGCUCUGGGAGGGGCCUGCGGCCCAUCAGGUUGUUGGUGUGGUAACGGCGCACCAAGCCACUGACGGGUACCCGGUCUGAGAGGACGGCCGGGCAGACUGGGACUGCGACACGGCCCAGACUCCUACGGGAGGCAGCAGCAAGGAAUUUUCCCCAAUGGGCGCAAGCCUGAGGGAGCAACGCCGCGUGGAGGACGACGGCCUUCGGGUUGUAAACUCCUUUCGGGUGGGACGACUCCGACGGUACCACCAGAAGCAGCCCCGGCUAACUCUGUGCCAGCAGCCGCGGUAAGACAGAGGGGGCAAGCGUUGUCCGGAGUUACUGGGCGUAAAGGGCGCGGAGGCGGUCUGCGGCGUCGGCGCUGAAAGCGCCCCGCUUAACGGGGCGAGGCGUGCCGAUACGCGCAGACUUGAGGCGAGCAGAGGGUGGUGGAAUUCCGGGUGGAGCGGUGAAAUGCGUAGAGAUCCGGAGGAACGCCAGUGGGGAAGCCGGCCACCUGGGCUCGGCCUGACGCUGCGGCGCGACCGCGUGGGGAGCAAACCGGAUUAGAUACCCGGGUAGUCCACGCCGUAAACGAUGCCAGCUCGGCGUGUGUCACACGGUCGUGCGCUGCGUGCCUUAGCUCACGCGAGGUUAAAGCGCCUGGGGACUACGAGCGCAAGCUUGCAUGCCUGCAGGUCGACUCUAGAGUCCCCGUACCAGCCACAA
rnacentral:rRNA from 1 species